AAACUAACAAGGAUUCCCCUAGUAACUGCGAGUGAAGCGGGAAAAGCUCAAAUUUAAAAUCUGGCGGCUUUGGUCGUCCGAGUUGUAUUCUAGAGAAGUGUUUUCCGCGUUGGACCGUGUAUAAGUCUCUUGGAAUAGAGCGUCAUAGAGGGUGAGAAUCCCGUCUUUGACACGGACUACCAAUGCUUUGUGAUACACUCUCAAAGAGUCGAGUUGUUUGGGAAUGCAGCUCAAAAUGGGUGGUAAAUUCCAUCUAAAGCUAAAUAUUGGCGAGAGACCGAUAGCGAACAAGUACCGUGAGGGAAAGAUGAAAAGCACUUUGGAAAGAGAGUUAAACAGUACGUGAAAUUGCUGAAAGGGAAACGCUUGAAGUCAGUCGCGUUAGCUAGAACUCAACCAGGCUUGCUUGGCGUAUUUUCUAGUUAACGGGCCAGCAUCAGUUUUGACCGCAGGAAAAGGGCCAGGGAAAUGUGGCAUCUUCGGAUGUGUUAUAGUCUCUGGUCGUAUACUGUGAUUGGGACUGAGGACCGCAGCACGCGCAAGCUGUGCUUAGGAUGCUGGCGUAAUGGCUUUAAACGACC
rnacentral:rRNA from 1 species